AAAAAAAAAGACAAUUUAUUGAUAAAACGUAAGUAAACACAUGGGUUAUGGGCUCAAAGAUCUAAGUUCAAAUCUGAGCUCUACUACUUAUUAACUGUGUGACUCAAUAAACAAGCCACUUAGCUUUGAAACUGAAUUUUAACAAUGUUCCAAAAGGAGAAAUAAGGUAUAGCAUCUCACUACAAAUCCUCCAUCUCAAAACAUGGGGCCUGGAGUGGCCCCCCAAGACCCUACCCCUAAAACAAACUGGCUGUGGAUAUGGUGACAGAUUAGAAAGUUAAACCCUUCACCUCCAUGAAAGAAUCUGGAAUGGAGCAAACCCAUCAUUUACCUAAGAAGGCAGAAGGUGAGACAGUCCCAUUGCUGCGUGACACCAUGACACUGAUGCCUGUCUCUAUGAAGGGCACAGAGAAGUCGACCACCUCCGAUCGUUCCUCAUUGAUGAUGGCUACAGAGGAGUUUGAUGACUUGCCCAAGCUCCCACGGUAAGUGACUUGAAGCUGAGCAGUCUGACUCCAGAGCUUGGACUCCUACCCACCACUCUGCACUGCUUCUCUGACAAUGAAGGAGUAAGACAUGUUCCUUUUCCUCCAAGGACAGUCUAGAGGGAAAAGACACUAUCCAUCGACAAUAAUAGGCUUUGGUAAUUACUCUAAUAUCCACUAUCCAUUGACAAGUUAGGCUUUGGUAAUUACUGUAAUAAAAGAUAUAAAUAAAGUACUCCGGCAUUCAGA
rnacentral:lncRNA from 1 species